AGUGAACGCUGGCGGUAGGCCUAACACAUGCAAGUCGAACGGCAGCACAGUAAGAGCUUGCUCUUACGGGUGGCGAGUGGCGGACGGGUGAGGAAUACAUCGGAAUCUACUUUUUCGUGGGGGAUAACGUAGGGAAACUUACGCUAAUACCGCAUACGACCUACGGGUGAAAGCAGGGGAUCUUCGGACCUUGCGCGAUUGAAUGAGCCGAUGUCGGAUUAGCUAGUUGGCGGGGUAAAGGCCCACCAAGGCGACGAUCCGUAGCUGGUCUGAGAGGAUGAUCAGCCACAAUGGAACUGAGACACGGUCCAGACUCCUACGGGAGGCAGCAGUGGGGAAUAUUGGACAAGGGGCGAAAGCCUGAUCCAGCCAGACCGCGGGGGUGAAGAAGGCCUGCGGGUUGUAAAGCCCUUUUGUUGGGAAAGAAAAGCAGCAGGUUAAUACCCCGCUGUUCUGACGGUACCAAAAGAAUAAGCACCGGCGAACUUCGU
rnacentral:rRNA from 1 species